CCAGCGGUCCGGCCGGGAACUCAAAGGAGACUGCCAGUGAUAAACUGGAGGAAGGUGGGGAUGACGUCAAGUCAUCAUGGCCCUUACGACCAGGGCUACACACGUGCUACAAUGGCGCAUACAAAGAGAAGCGACCUCGCGAGAGCAAGCGGACCUCAUAAAGUGCGUCGUAGUCCGGAUUGGAGUCUGCAACUCGACUCCAUGAAGUCGGAAUCGCUAGUAAUCGUGGAUCAGAAUGCCACGGUGAAUACGUUCCCGGGCCUUGUACACACCGCCCGUCACACCAUGGGAGUGGGUUGCAAAAGAAGUAGGUAGCUUAACCUUCGGGAGGGCGCUUACCACUUUGUGAUUCAUGACUGGGGUGAAGUCGUAACAAGGUAACCGUAGGGGAACCUGCGGUUGGA
rnacentral:rRNA from 3 species